GGCGGCGGGCAGGGCCGCCCCGGCACAGGCACAGCUCUGAUGACGCUGGGACGCACGUCCUUGUCCCCCGCUGCAGCUACAGGAGCAGAGCAGUGCCCUCCGUGCUUGGCACUGGGCCGGCAUCACCACCAUUUCUGAAUGUCUAUUUCAUUUUCUUUCGAGGUGAAGCUCCUGCCCUGUGCACGCACAGGUCACUCCACGCAGAGACGGGCGCUUCCUGCCACUAGAGGGCCCUGGGAGAAGGCUCGCAGCAUGCCUCUUCCAAAAUCACCAGAAAGACACCUGCACAGGUUGUCGUGAACACGUCCACACUCCCAGCCUGUGUCAGGGAGACUGGGAUGGCACGCCCGCCCGUGGGCCCCGCGGGUGGGCCCGGCAGUGCCGUGUGCCAUCCCCAGAGCCGGUCCUGGCCUCUCGGCCCCCGCUGUCCUCUGCUUGCUCUCAGAGUGCUCUCACCCUUCUGUCUUAGUUUCCUGGGGCAACCACCACAAAUGGAAACAAACUGUGUGGCUUAAAACCGCAAGUUUAUUCAGAAGGCCUGAAGUCCCGAGUUGGGCGUCAGCAGGGCGGCUCGUCUGGAGGCCCGAGGGGGCUCUGUCCCAGGCCUCUCGCCAGCUUCUCCAGUCACCACAUUUCAGUCCUGCCCUGGUCCAGGAUGACCACAUCUGGAGACCCUUAACACAGUUACAUCUGCAAAGGUUGUCUUUCCAAAACAGGCCACGUUCACAGGUACCAGGAGUCAGGACUUGGACAGAUCUUUUCAGGGACGCAACUCAUUCCACUUUGAUGAGCCCAUAGUUCCUGCCUAACUCCCGGCUCCUGGCCUUGACCCUCGAGAGGCCCCGCAUCCGUGCCGGCCGCCCAGGGGUCCACUCCCACUCGUUGGACUUGAUGGCACACCUCUGCCGAGCCCCUGUCCUAUCUGCUACAAACGCCUCAAUCCCAGGCUUGGAACAAACAAAACCACCAUGCGCAACGCAAGUAAUUAAGAAAAGAGGCCACGUGAUGGGUCUGCUGUCAAAGAGGAAAACCAGAAAAGCACAUUUGCUGAACAGCCCCGCCUUUGCCUUGUACCCAGGACAGGUGGGCGUUUUGCAACUAGUGACCAGGGGAAGCAGCAGAGCUGGGCCCGCCGGCACCUGUCUAUCCUCUGGGCGGCACCUUACCGACUCCUGGUCAUAGAGGGCCUUCAGCCGCCCCCGCCACUUGGGCCUCUGCCGCAGCAGCCCGCAGCGGGGGAAAGGCAGACACAAGAAGCACACCCAGUUGCUCAUGGCCUGGACCUUCCCCGAGGUCCCAGGGCCCGCCAGGGCGUCCACGCACUCGAAGCAGUAGCACCUAGAGGGGAGCAGAAAACCAGCGACUGAGAUGAAACGGCCUCAGUCAGCCACCAAGGGAAAGCGCGUCUGUCCGCCGGCGAGGGGAGCCUGCCCCGGCUUUGGUGCCAGCGAUGGAAACCACACCGGGCUCACGUGAGCAGACAGAGUUGGCCUUGGCCAUCAGCGUCUCACACGGUGGAAAGGUGAGGCUGUGGACCAGGGAAGGGGGACCAGUUCCUCUUAGGGACCCCUGGCCAUGACCAGCAGCCCCCAGGGUGCAGGGCUUCCCUCACUGCCCUACAUCCUGAUCGACAGAGCAGCUACGCCUUGGCAAUAACAAUCACAGAAAGAAAAAUUGGAAAUUCAGAUGUUUGGACGCCCUAUCUGCCAUUGUCAACGCUCUACCCCAGGUGAAAUUUUUGAGAUGGGAACUGAAAGCUUUGGAGAAAGCCCUCCUUUGCAGGGGAAGUCCCUCACACUCCGGGAUGUGUGGCUGACAAGGAUGGAAACUUCCUAGGCUCCUGGGCCCUCAGUCGACCCCACCUGGGCGCUCCUCGCCUCACCGGGUGCAGUCGGGGUUUUCACAGAUGAGCAGCGUGUUGCCCGUGCAGCAGAUGGAGCAGUAGGACUGGUACCCGUCUUCGUCGUACAAGAAGAAGCAGUCCAAGAACUUGUCCUUGGUGAGGGACAAACCCGGCCGCUGCCUCCUCUGCUCCAACGGAGGCGUCCGCGACCACCCCUCACCUCCCUGCUUACCUUGCACGGGGCACAUAUCCCUCCCUCAAACAGAGGGUGCUGAGUAUACACCUGAAAACUUCCACAGCAGAUGCACAGGUCUACGGGGGACAGCCAGAGGGCGGCGUGUGUCACAACACCCUCAAGCAGAGCAACACGCUUGGGGGUGAAUUUAACAAAGCAAGUGCAAGCCCCAUGCAUUGAAAACCACGGAGCACCGAUGAAAGAGAUUCAAGAUCUGAAUAAACAUAGGAUGUCCCGUGUUCAUGGAUCAGAAGGCUGCGUAUUGUUAAAGCGGCACGCCUCCCCCACAGAAAUGGAUAAGCUGAUCCUAAAAUGCAUGUGGAAAAGCAAGACAUCCAGAACAGGCAAACCCAUGGAGAAAGGUAGUAGAUCCCUGGCUGCCCGAUGUUGAAAGAAGAGGGGUGGUAAGGAAAGGCGUGACACGGCCGUGGAGUUUUUUCUGGGGAAUUGGUGAUAAAAAUGUCCUCAAAUUAGAUUGUGGGUGUGACGGCACAACUCUGUGAACAUCCUAAAAGACACUGAGCUAUACACCUUAAGCAAAGCUUUGGGGGCUGGGCCGGUGGAGGGGAGGGGAGCAGGGCAGCUGCGGUGUCGCUGCCCCCUUCCAGGGAUGGACGCCCGGGUGAGGCCGCAGCACGCCUUUCCAGAGCUGGCUGACAUCCCCCUUUACCUGGGCGUGGGCAGGUGUGCGACCACUCACCUUCUAUGUCUCGCUGGUUAACCUUGACUUCGUAUGCGAUACGGUCUGGAAAAGAGAAUUGAGCAGUGGACCCUUCCUUCUUCGGCGGGUCUGCCAUUUAAACACGGCUGAGAAGCGUGUCACAGCUGGUCUUCUGAAGUCACAGGAGCCAGAGGACCCCCUCCUCCCCCCACCUUUCCUGGCAUGUUAAACAUCCAGGCUUGGGGGGGCCUGGGGGGGCCUUCCUGGCCCUGCCAGGUACCUGAAUGAUGUGUGAACAUUCCUAGGUGUUGCCCAGGCCUGGGGUUGGCAUCCUAAGUGAUAAGUGGGCCCUCACCUCUGCGGAGCCUUGGUGACCCGGGGGACGACAGCUCACUGGAGCCCACCAGGAUGACGUCCAUGUUGCACUCUGCACCUGGGUCCAGGACUGACACAGCCACCAUGGGGAUGCCGCCCAGGAGACAGGACACCCGUGAGCAGAGGAGGAAAUGGCCCCCGGCCCUCAGCACGGGGGACAAAGCCGACCACCCAGCUCGGCCCCCACCCACCUACUGCGACACCCACUCCUCCCGACGCAGAAGGAAGGUCAUCCGGGCAGGAAGGCUGGAGGGAAACUGAGGUCCAGAGAGGGUCACAUGGCCAAAAGAAGCUAAAGCCACAAGUGUCACCAGGAGAUCGGAACUCCCCUGAUGCCCACCAGCUGGGAAGUCCUUGGGGGCCAGGGACCAGGGUCCCCCUGCUCUGCGUCUCAAGCUGAGGCCUGGCUGGUGUUAUGAGUCUCCUGAGGUCAUCGGGACUCAGGACUACUGACUCCUGGGAGUCUAGCCCUUUCAGCAGAGCCACACAGACUGAAGCCUCCAUCUGGAGCAGAGGGAGAAGAUCACAGUGUCCAGGCUUCUUUGAGGGGCCAAGGCCAAGUAGCCGAAGGGCAGGGCCCCUCUAAUCCCCGCCUGCCACUGGGACCUCACCCCUCCUUGACCUCUGGGUGAGUCACACAGGGAGCAUUUCCCCAUCUUUGCAAGCUGGUAUAUCUGAUAUACCUGGGCACCCAAGGAGCAUCCUGUGUGUUGCGAACAUGGACCUAGACACCACCCAUCCAAGGCCAUGUACUAGCUGUGUGACUUUGGUUCAGUAACCUGCCUGUGCCUCAGUCUCUUGUCGAUAGAAAAGGGAUAAUAAAACGCUGACCUUAUAGGGAAGUUCUG